rnacentral:lncRNA from 1 species
GUCCCUGUGCUGGAACUCAAGUGAGAGUUGGCUGAAAAUCCAUUGCUGUUCUCUAGAAAUCCAGCCCAAGUCUCUUGGUUAGAGAUAAGAUUCCAUUUUGGAUGCUUCCAUCGGGACUGUGUGCCCCUGUCCUGGAACUCAGCUGAACACUUGGCUCAAAAUCCAUUGCUGUUCUCUGGAAAUUCUGCCCUAAUCUCUUGGUUAAAUAUAAGAAGGCGGAGCCAGGUGUGCAGAGCGGAACGUGAAAGUGGACCAGGAGCGUGACCGCUGAAGCACAGCAUCACAGGGAGACGUUUAGGCCACCAGACGGCUGCGGGCGGGCUUGACUGAUGUCAGGCUUUCCACAAGAGGUGGUGGAGCAGAGUCUUCUCUAACUCCCCUGGAGAAAGGGAGACUCCC